CCGUGUUCCAGACGGCAUGCCAAAAGGGGGAGGGUCUCGCAACUCACAGGGCACCUGAUGUGCGCAAGAAAUAAACGUCCAUCUCAAGAUUGCGAUUUGAGUCUUGUCACUGCCACAUGGCCUGGCCUGGCCCCGUGAAUGGUCAGAGCGUCAGAAUUAACGGAGUAAUUGCUGCUCUUGAACUCUUUAAUGUGAGGAAGGAAGAAGCUGUCUCUGGAGCCACGCGGGGCAGCUGAUUGACGCUUUCCCUGACUGUCAUCAUCCAGCACAGAUGGCACUUCCUGUUUGGUAACACCUCACGUGGGCUUCUUCAUCCCCCACUGACUCUGCCAGUCACCAUCCUACACAGUCAAAUGUGCACAGUAUUAGAAGUUUGCCAAGAGCACAUCCUUGUGUCUGCCAAGGAGUGUCUGUUAGAGGAAGAGUAUUCUAGGAGACGAUGUUCAGAGGAGAAAUGGACCACCCCAGGAGGCAGCAAACCCCUUGUCUCUGAGUUUCCUCAUUUGAGAAUGGGAAGAAAGAUACUGACCCACCGUGAAGAAUUUCCGUGAGGACCCAGUAAGAAGACGGGCUGAAAACAUUUCGAAAACCCUACAAAGACCAAAGUUGUCAUUUCAAGAAGGAAUUCAUUCAGCGGCAGAUAAGUCGCCCAGUUUCGAAUCUUGCUUCUACCUGUCUCCAGCUGCGUGUCCAAGGACGAAAUGGAGUAUUUUUUUUUUUGAGAAUUUGUUUUCCAUCUUUAAAAUGGGAGCAAAAGGAAUAUCCACCUCUUAGCAUUUCUGCGAAGAUGGUGUGAAAUUGUCUCUUUCAACAUGAUGGCCCAUCCUGCCGCUGCUGGCUGAGCACCCCCUCCCCCUGCCCCCACGCGUGGAGGGGCUUUCUGACGGGUGAGGACUAGAGCCAGGAAACUUGGCUCAUAGGCCGGGUAAUCUUAGGCAAAUUACUUCUCUCUGGGCCCCAGUUUUAUUGACUUACAACAGGGGGAAGGCUGGAUCAGUGGUUUCCAAACAUGGCUGAUAGCGGAAUCACCAGAGGUGUUUUAGAAAAUAUCAACCCCAAGGUCGCUGAGACAGGAGGUACAGAGCGAGGCCAGGAAGCUGCGCGGUCAUGAGCGCCUCCUCUGACUCUGACGCAGUUGGCCCAACAGAAAUGCGGGAACCCCUGGGUUGGAAAGAUAACCUCAGAGCUCCUGGCCUGCUCUGACGUUUCCGGGUCAUUGGUAAGGAUGGAUGCCUCCACGACCCCUUCGGAGGGUGAGGACGGUGCUGUGGAAAAGAGACUAGAAGGGCCAGAGACCCUUUAUCUACUCCUGGCUGUCAAGAAUUCACUCUGUAAUCACGGUUUCUCCCUGAGCCUCACACCGAACCCACCGCUAGGCUUUAUCCGAGCGCCAUGUCGCCGUGUGCCCGGGAAGAUUUCAAAAUACAGCAGACUGGCUCCCCUCGUCCCUAGAGUCUGCCGUAAUACGUAUGGGGUAGCUCAGGAUGUUGCGUAUUUUUUUUUUUUUUAAUUUUUGUAACGUUUUAUUUAUUUUUGAGACAGGGAGAG